CCUACGGGAGGCAGCAGUGGGGAAUCUUAGCCAAUGGGCGCAAGCGCGAUCUAGCCAUGCCGCGUGAGUGAAGAAGGCCUUAGGGUGGUAAAGAUAUUUCGCCAGAGAUGAUAAUGACAGUAUCUGGUAAAGAAACCCCGGCUAACUCCGUGCCAGCAGCCGCGGUAAU
rnacentral:rRNA from 1 species